rnacentral:tRNA from 1 species
GGGACUAUAGUUAAUAAUAACAUUUGAGUUGCAUUCAAAAGGUACUACUUAAGUAGUUAGCCUCA